UACGAAGGGGGCUAGCGUUGUUCGGAUUUACUGGGCGUAAAGCCCACGUAGGCGGAUUGUUAAGUUAGAGGUGAAAUCCCGGAGCUCAACUCCGGAACUGCCUUUAAUACUGGCAAUCUCGAGUCCGGAAGAGGUAAGUGGAACUCCUAGUGUAGAGGUGGAAUUCGUAGAUAUUAGGAAGAACACCAGUGGCGAAGGCGGCUUACUGGUCCGGUACUGACACUGAGGUGCGAAAGCGUGGGGAGCAAACAGG
rnacentral:rRNA from 1 species